UCAGAUGUGAAAUCCAAUGGCUCAACCAUUGAACUGCAUUUGAAACUGCUAGACUAGAGUAUGGGAGGGGGAGAUGGAAUUAGUGGUGUAGGGGUAAAAUCCGUAGAUAUCACUAGGAAUACCUAAAGCGAAGGCGAUCUCCUGGAACAUAACUGACGCUAAG
rnacentral:rRNA from 1 species